UUACAUUAAUUUUUAAGUUUCAUCAUGCUGUAUUUUUUGUAUUAAGUUGUAUUUAUUUGUAUGUUUUUUUAUAAUAGUAUUUCAGUAAUAAUACACUUUCAAUCCUGGAAGACAGCUCCAGAAACCUGCUCAACCUCCAGCUUGGUCCAGAUCCAGGCCUGACACCUCCAUCCUUCAGUCUUCAAGAAGUCUGCAGUCUUCCUGAACCGCCAUCUCUGGUCCGUGCCGUUGACCUGAAACCCACCUCCAUUUGGCUUAACAUCUACAAUCUUCCGCUCCUGGCCUGAGCCUUCACCCAACACCUCCAUCCUUCAGUCUUCAAGCAGUCUGCAGUCUUCCUGAACCGCCAUCUCUGGUCCGUGCCGUUGACCUGAAACCCACCGCCAAGAGAUCGUCCCUUCUACGACCGUCGGUCAACCUGCUGGACUUCGCCUCACCACACUUCGGGCCCCCUGACACGCCCGUAUCUCUCGUGGGUCAAGGAUUCUGUGAAGGGCCCACUCCUGGAACCAGAAAGUCGUGGACUACUGGUGUUUUUCCGUUUUGUGGUUUUUGUUAUCUGACUCAACAAAAUAAACCUUUUUGUUUUACCCCAA